UGUGUGUGAUAUAUGUGCUAGAGCUUCAGGGUCAAAAAUAUAGAGGAAGAAAGAGAGAAAGCCGAGAGAGAAAGAGAGAGAGAGUCCAUGAAUCUCAAGAAAUUGAAGGGAGAAACUCAAGAACUCAUCAAGGAACUCAAGAAUUCGAGCUCUAGCGGAACCUGAAAGUUUUGAAGAAGCAAUUAAAGAGGAAGCUUGGAAGAAAGCAAUGGAAGAAGAAAUUGAAGUCAUUGAAAAGAACAACACAUGGGAAUUGGUUACAAGACCACAAGGCUAGGAAAUCAUUAGGGUGAAGUGGAUUUAUAAAGUAAUAAAGUUGAAUUCGGAUGGUUCACUCCAAAGAAACAAGGCAAGGCUGGUCGCAAAAGGGUACACACAACAACCUGGAAUCGAUUUUCAAGAAACAUUUGCGCUGGUUGCACGACUUGACACCGUUCGAGCUUUCAUUGCAUUAGUAGCCCAAAAAGGUUGGUCAUUGUAUCAACUUGAUGUUAAAUCUGUGUUUUUAAAUGGAAAAUUAAAAGAGGAAGUAUAUGUUGAACAAACCCAAGGGUUUCUAAUGAAAGGAGAUGAAGACAAGGUGUAUAAAUUGAAGAAAGCAUUGUAUGGACUAAAGCAAGCUCCAAGAGCAUGGUAUAGCCAAAUUGAGUUCUAUUUCAUCAACACGGGUUUCAAGAAGAGCAAGAGUGAGCUAACCUUAUAUGUGAAAAAUCAAGUGAUUGGGGUGGCUGCACUGAUGAUAUGAAAAGCACCUCUGGGUAUGCAUUUUCCUUGGGUUCUGGAGUAUUUUCUUAGGCAUCAAAGAAGCAACAGUGUGGCGCAAUCAUCUGCAGAAGCUGAAUACGUUUAAGUGGGUUUGGCAACUUCCCAAGCAAUUUGGUUGAUAGCAGAAUAUGUUUGUGAAAAGCAAGAAGAUGGUACAUAAAUUUUUUGUGACAACAAAUUAGCAAUUGCCAUGGCUAAGAAUCCUAUUUUUCAUAGUCGCACUCGUCAUAUUGGAAUUAAACAUCAUUUUAUUCGAGAAGCAAUUGAAGAAGGCGAAGUGCAGCUUAAAUUCUGCAGGACAGAUGAACAAAUUGCAGGUAUAUUCACUAAGGCUCUUCCCAAAGAAAAAUUCUAGCAUUUCAAAGAGUUACUUGGAGUUAUGGAGCAGCACAUUAGGGGGGAGCAAUGUUGAUGUAAUGUGCUUGUUUAAUUUUGUAUCCAAACAAUCACUUGUGCUUAUUUAAUUCUAGCUAUGUUUUGGGUUGGGUUUUGUUAAUUAGAGUUAAUGUAUGUGGGGGAAAUUUGUUUAGAUGUUUUAUUGGUACUUGGGUUGAUAUAAUUUCAUAUACAAAGCUUGUAAGGGAAGCUAAAAAGGCAAUAAAAAAUCUGCUCAAGGGGCUGUUCAAGGUUGACCCCUUUUCUCCCCUGCUUUGCUCUUCUUCACAAUUUUCUGCAGGAAAAAAUAAAAUCUGAUUUUGUG